GGUUAUGGCUCAGCGGUAGAGCACGCACCUCGCACGUGCAAGGACCUGGGUUCGAUCCUCAGCACCA
rnacentral:tRNA from 1 species